AUCUACCCUUUAAAAGAGGGAGUUCAUGAAAAACUUUUCCCUUCCCAAACUAACCUUCAACUAAUUUAAAUAUUCCAAACUUAUCCUUAUAAUAAUUAAACAGAUUUCAUCUUUAUCAUCGUAAAUCCAAAGACCUAAGAUUUCCGUCGGUUACGCCUUCCUCUCCGCCCACCGGUUCAUACACGAUCUUAACCCUUCAAUUUCCAAAGAUGAUUAUUAUUGCCCUAAUCUCCGACCUCCUCCGCCAUGUCCCUCAUCAUCGUCCCCAGAUCCGACGCCCAGCUCCUCCCCUCGUCAUCGUCGUCGCCACAUCGACGCCCAGCUACUAGGCAGCGGAAUUAGGAAAAAAUGAAUGGAUCUUGUGAGGGUCGGCAGCGAAAAUCGUUCGAUAAUGAGGAGGCACAGUCCGGCGUAUUAUAGCCCCCCGCGAAGAGGUUAUGGUGGUAGAGGAAGAAGUCCACCAAGGAGGAAUUACGGUGGCGGCGGCGGGCACAGGGAAUCUGGUCAGAGUCUUUUGGUUAGAAACAUUCCCCUAAAUUACAGAGCGGAGGACCUCCGCGCCCCAUUUGAAAGGUUUGGGCGAGUAAGGGAUGUUUAUUUACCGAAGGAUUAUUAUUUUGGGUGAGUUCUUAGUGGUUGAUGUUUAGGCCUUGAUGAUUAAGGAUGUGAAUGUUCCUUUUUAAUGUAUAGUUCAUCUCUCUUAUGAUUUCUGAUUCGACGUAGUUCAGUUGAAUUCUUGAGAUUACGAAUAAGAAAACCCUUGUCAUGGUUAGCGUUUACCUAAGUCCUGAAGAAGGCUGGAGGUGGUCUUAACCUACUGCUACACCUGAAUGGUUUUAUGUUUUAUCUGAGAAUGCUUUCUUUGAGAUAUAGGAAAAAGGUUUAUAUUACACCAUUAAAGUAGGAUUUGCAAGAGGCGUAGGCAUAAGGUACGCGUGUCAUAUGAUAAUUUUUGUGAAGAGCAAGCUAUCAGUAUUUGGUUAUUUUCCUCUAUUAGUGGAUGGAAAAGGAGCGAUCAGUUCAUCUGGAAUGUUCCCCAUUGUGUGGUAUAAUUAUAAACACAACUGCAAAAGUGAUGGUGUUUUCUUUGUGAAUUAUUUUCAGUACUGCAAUCAACGAAGGGCAAGUUCUGAGGGAUGCAUGGUAGUGUAAUAUGUAAGAGAUUCAUUUGUAGAUAUAAGUUUAUGUGAACGUUGGCUUCCAAAUACAUGGAAUUAUGAUCAACAGUCUCAAAGUUUAGAGUAUCUUGCAGAGUGCAAGAGAAGCUGGUGCACAACAUUAUGACAAAAAAAAAGAACCAAAUUAGUAAAUUAUGCU